AAAAAGUCCUCCAGCCAAGCAGGGCUUUGAAAUGUUACAUCUCCAAGCGGAUCCAAGAAAAAGAGGCUCUGGGAGAAGAUUCCCGCAAGCCCCUCUCUGGGGAGGGACCCCCAAACAGGACCAUUAAAAAGAGGUCCCCCCAGAUGGCACCUUUCAGCACCUGGCUCAGCUGAACUGAUCGAGUGCCAUGAAGGCUGACUUCUUCCAGGAAAGAGCCUGGGGGAAAGGACUUUGGCUUUGACAAAGAGACGCAGGUUCAAGUCCAGACUCCACCCUGACCUGGCUCCAUCUCCUAAGGAAUUCCUGUUUUCCACUUUGCAUUCAGCUAUGGGAAAUGCAGUGUACCCCAACCUGGUUCCUUCUUGUCACCUCUGCACACAGGGCACCUGCAGCUACUCAAGCAAAAGCCAGGGCCCUCUCCCGCCUCCCUCUGGAAGCCCAGGAAGUGACCGUGGCCUGACCGGACGCCCCUGCCGGGCUCUCACCAUGAACCCCGACGGCCAUGGCAGCGGCUGCUCGGGGGACUGUUUCAAACGAUUCCCUGCAAACUUUCGCAAGAUACAAAAGAGGCUGGAAACUCACAGGAUAAACCAAAGUGGAAACAAAACUGUGUCGCCGAGGCCCAUGGGAACUGAAACCACAGGGCAGAGUGCUCUGAGCUCUCCGGACACAAACAGCUAAGCCCCCGCAUGAGUCACUGGUGUGGCCACAAGGCUGCUCGAGAGGGAAGGCCUGACUGGACAGAAGCCGACGCCGUGCCCUGGGGACCCUCUGUGCGUUCUGCUCCCUGGAGAUUUCAUUUCACGUGCGUUGCAGCAAAGAGAACACUCGCAGGACAUGGAGGACACCCCUCAGGCUCUGGUCACCGACGAUACAAACACCCGAUGGGGUUUCAUCAUAACCCAGCCUAGGAACUACCUGUUUUCUCCAAAUCCUCGUGAGGACACAGAACCCAGGGUGCUCAAGCAACUCAGACCACCCUGAGCUGGAAUUUGCAUUCUUUCCUUCUGCGGCAUUCUCCAGCUGUCGGUCCCACCGGAAGCCCAGGCUGGUUCCGUGGGCGGGAGGGUUUCCUGCUCUCUCCGUCUCCACACUGCUUUGAUCAUGCGCCACGAGCAGUGCAGUGAAAACUGGAGCAUCCCCUCCCAACAGCUGUAGCCGUCUUUAUCUACAAAUGAGGUACAUACCCCUAGAGGUGAUAUUAGGAAACACUGCAAGAAAUGGAAUUGAAAUGGGAUGAGCUCAAAGACAGACAGAAGCUGCAAUGCUUGCUUCCUGUACCCUGGUGCAGGGUCAAGGGUAGCCAGAUUAAAAAACACAGGAUGCCCAGCUAAGUGUGUGACACAGUUUGGCUAAAAUAAAAUAAAAUAAAACAAAAUGAUUGUUUCUCUG
rnacentral:lncRNA from 1 species